rnacentral:rRNA from 1 species
GGGCUCACACAAGCGGUGGAGCAUGUGGCUUAAUUCGAGGCAACGCGAAGAACCUUAUCCUGGGCUUGACAUGUACGGAUUAACCUUAUGAAAGUAGGCCACGCUCGCAAGAGUGGAACGUGCACAGGUGCUGCAUGGCUGUCGUCAGCUCGUGUCGUGAGAUGUCGCGUUAAGUCGCUAAACGAGCGAAACCCCUAUCUUUAGUUGCCAGCGCGUCAUGGCGGGACUCUAAAGAGACUGCCGGUGUCAAACCGGAGGAAGGCGGGGAUGACGUCAAAUCAUCACGGCCCUUACGUCCUGGGCUACACACGUGCUACAAUGGCCGGUACAGAGAGCAGCCACGUCGCAAGGCGGAGCGAA